AAAAGUCGUAACAAGGUUUCCGUAGGUGAAACCUGCGGAAGGAUUAUUACCGAGUUCCGGGUGCCCCCCGCGGCCCCUAACUCCCACCCUCUGUGUACCUCAGUUCGUUGCUUUGGCGGGCCGGGCGCCCCCGCGCGCCCGCCGGCCCAGGCUGGAGAGCGCCCGCCAGAGGACCAAAGAAACUCGUGCUUGCGAACCGCGCAGUCUGAGCAAACCUCGCGAGAGCGAGAAAACAAAUCAAAACUUUCAACAACGGAUCUCUUGGUUCUGGCAUCGAUGAAGAACGCAGCGAAAUGCGAUAAGUAAUGCGAAUUGUAGAAUUCAGUGAGUCAUCGAAUCUUUGAACGCACAUUGCGCCCGCUGGUAUUCCGGCGGGCAUGCCUGCUCGAGCGUUAUUACAACCCUCAAGCUCUGCUUGGUGUUAGGCCCUCGUCCCUGCAGCGGACGUGCCCGAAACCCGUCGGCGGCGCGGCUCGCCCGGCUUCAGGAGUAGCAAAGCCCUCGCGCCCUCUCCUCGUGUGCCCGAGCCCCGCCCGCCGGACAACCGCGCGACCCGCGGGCGCGCAACCCACCCACAAGUUUGACCUCGGAUCAGG
rnacentral:rRNA from 1 species